rnacentral:lncRNA from 1 species
AAUAUGUGGACAGGACCUUAAUCAGCAUCCUGGAAGUGGAAAGCACGGAAGGCCUGUGUCCCACAUCACAGACAGGUAAUGCGUUGCUCCUUAAGCAGGGGCCUGUUUGACGGAUAGUCCCAUCUAAUACUCACCGCACAUUUUAGCCUCAGAGCGAAACGUGCUGCGCACUCCGUCUGACUCGUCAGCCGAACAAACUCUCCUCUCUCUGCUUCUAGGUGCAGCGUGUAGCCAAAGCAGCACAGGGGGGGGGCCCCGUGGGGAGGAGGGGGCGGUGCAGCAGCGCACCCCUCCGGCUGUGGGUGUGCUGGGCGGCGACCCCCGGGAGGCUGCGCGGGAUGUGGAAGGGUCAUCCCAGCAUGCCCCGCAGCCGGUCACUGCUGAGAGGUGCCGGCACAUCGGUGAGAAGAACGUGUGCCCGGAGAAUUGCCCCGCCAUUGACCCAGAGGAGCCCGGUCUCUCUACAGAGUGUCACAAACACUCUGAUACACAGACAGAUAAAGCUUUGCAGUAUUCCCAUUUCGGGCCACAGGCUGAUAACAGUGGGCACCCAGGCAGGCCGGCGAGUGGGACAGAGUGGGUUGAUGUUGAAGCAGGCCGGGACCACGCGCUGCAGCCGGGAAGUACAGGUGGACUGGUGGUCAUCAGUGGCACAGACACGGGACAGGAUCUCCCGGAGAAUGAGAAAUUGGAAUAUAAACGUGAGUUUGGAACGGAGGAACAUGCCGGUGUACGUUCAUCAACAAACCUCCCCUCGGAAUCCUGCUCAACAGCCUCCCCUCUUACCCUCAGCCCAAAUAAAGAUACAGUCCCGCACCGCGCACAAGAAAGAGGAAUGGAUCGGCCGCGGACAACUCCGCCUACUCCGGCCAGCCAGGCCAGCCAUGUACCUCUGUCUCAAGUCAGCGAGAAACCAGGCCUUCCCCCAAAUGCUGAGCACCCUCCACCCCCGGGGCCCAUCACAGGCCAUAACGAUGGGACACAAACGGACGUCUCCACGGGACCUAAAAUCACUACGCAGGACUCGAGUGAUGGCAAGGGAGCAAUAUGUGGUGCUAGUGCAGAUGAGCGGGGACCACAGGAAACGGGAGGAUCUACAGGGAAGUGCGAGACCGGACGUGCCACGCACGGGAGUUCACACCCACCGACGCCGCUCCCAUCAACUAAAGUGUCAUGGACCCCUCAGGGGGGAGAGACACACCCCGGACUGGUCCCCUACACACCACCUGGCAGUGGAAAUUCCACCCCGAACUACUCAGCCGAGCGACAGGGAAGCGAGAGCGACCCCCAGAACAGUCCCCCACGUGCAGCAGUGGAACAGACGGAGACCAACAGGGCAGAGGUGGACCCUGAAGUUGCCGAUCUCUCGCCGGACCUUACGAUCCGGCCACAAAGCUCUCCUCGUCCGGAGAUGCCCAGCACGGCACCAACGGCGCCAGCCCCUGCCGUCUGCCACCUCCACAGGACAGAACUAGACUUAAUGCAGACAGACCAGCCUGUCCAAGUUCAGACUGCCGAUUCGGACACCCCACUGGCCUCUGAGCUCUCGAUCCCGGCGAUUGCUCACGGCGCCGUGGUGCUUGGCGGAGAGAGCGGCCUGGAGUUUUCAGAGGAGUUGCAAGUGAAUCAGUGUGUCUUCCUGAAAGAACAUGUUAGCGGGGACGCUGCUGUUGUUGAGUUGCACGCUGAUCUCUCUGCCGGAGAACCCAAGUCAUUUAUAGAAGGGACCCAUUCAGAAAUCGGAAUGGCUUCGCUGGCUGGGGCAGAAUUUGAGAUUUAUAGCUUUGUGGAGGAGGAGAUUGCGACAGAGGUUGUCGAAGACCGGCUGUCUCUCUCCCCGAGCUAUGAGGUAAACUUAUUCACCCCGGUCAUUGAACACUCCGAGAGUGAGGGACAACACAUACACGUAUUGUCUUCCCUGCAAAUGGCUAAUGACGACAGUCACGUCGUCUUGCAGCACGGCCCCCUUACGUCAGAUCACGGCCUCUUAGAAAUGGAGGUGUGCUCAAAUGACUUCACCCCAACCAUCUCCCCACACGACACGGGGAUGUCUGAUGAAGGGCAGAAUUUCCAGGCCGAAAACACAACUGCGGAAGUGUCCGCGGCGGAAGGGUCGGCUAAUAUCUGUUUGAUUCCGACUGUCCCCGUCUUGGAUACGCCACAUGUACGGACAAACGCCGCCACGGAAGCCACGACUCGGUGUCCGGAGGCCGUCCCGGACCACAGAAGGGUGGACGUCGCCGUGGCCGCCUCCUUCGGUGACGCACAAACGCUGCCAGGGCGGACUGGAACGGGAGUGACGGCCAGUACGUCUUCCCUGGUCGUCCCAAUGGCAGAAUUAACAGAGGAGCUUGUGGAGUCAACCGGUCAGCGCUGCGCAGAGGUCCUCUCAUCCCCGAACACCGUACAUCUGUUAGAGAGCGGCGUGAUGAACUGUCCUUCACUAGACCAGGCCCCGGGACUCUCCUUAGAAAAUACCACCAUAUCCGAGCCCUGUUCUUUGUCUGUUGACGGGUCCAGUGAUCCAGAGCCCUGUCCCGCUGCCAUAGAAAUGCCGAUGCAGAUCCAGCAGGACAUUGAUUGUGCCGUUACUGUGACGACAGCCAAGGACAGCCCAGGGGCUUCCCAGUGCGCACUCCCUCCCGGCAUCAUCGACCCAAGUCUUCUCCUCCUAAAGCCCGAGGACACGGCCCUCCUCAAACGCCCGCCCUCCUUCCUGUUGGGGACGACCAGACUGCCGAGCGACGGCCGGGCACAGACCGGCGUCAGCGGCUUGGACACAGCGCCUGCAAUGGAGUGCCUUCCCGAAGCCGCGCUGGGACCUGCGCCGGCGUGCGUCUCUGUCGACCGCCACGAAGAGCAGAGCAUGUCACGUGUGGACUUGGAGCCCGGCGCGACAUCGUCUUCUACGCUCACCACGAACACCGCGUUGCAGCGCCGUCUCUCUAACCCCGCGCCAUGCAGAUCCGACGACGAGGCCUUAACUCCGAUCAAAGCGUCCCCGGGGCCAGCGGGGACCGUUUUGCGAACCCUGGACCCUCCCGACGCCCCGCCUGAGCACUUCUCCGGCCACAUGUUGCCCUCAACCUCGGGCAGUGUGUCUAGGGGUAAGCUCUUCGGUUACUCCAGCGACGGUGGCCAGGCCGGGCCACCGCCGGUCAUCCGGCCACGGCUUGCCGGUGUGAAGGGCCCGGGGUUCGGCGGCCCCAAGGACGAGAGCAGUGAUGGAGAGGAUGACCUGGCAGAGGAGGACAAGGCCAGCCACCGAAGCAUGGGUUCCCCCGGUGGAGCGGAGAGCAAGGUACGCCAGUGGAUAGCUGACAGGGUCACGCCAAGUUCAUCUCCCGUGUCCCCUGGUCCUGACCCAUCCUCCUCCAGUGACUGGACCCCCAGCACCACUCCAAUCCCUCUCAGAGGCGCCCAUGGCAGGUUCCUCUCUCCUCCCACUACGGGCCCUGGGGGUUCCUCCCCGUCGGACCCGGUCACCCCCCAUCGCCCUCGAAUGGAGCGCCACGCCGACAUGGCCGAGCUGGCCAAACACGAAGCGGAGAUAGAGGGCAGGACCCUAGCACUGAAAAAGGAAGGAUUCUGGUCGAUGAAGCGACUGACCCGUUUGACGGAGCCAGUCCGAACCAAGGUGCACUGGGACUACCUGUGUGAGGAAAUGCAGUGGCUCUCGGCAGACUUUGCCCAGGAGAGAAGGUGGAAAAGAGGGGUCGCCAGGAAGGUGGUGCGGAUGGUGAUGCGUCACCACGAGGACCUGCGGCAGAAAGAGGAGAAGGCGAAGAGGGACGAGCACGCCAAAAUCAGACGGGUCGCCUCCAACAUUGCCAAGGAGGUGCGGGCCUUCUGGAGCAGCGUGGAGAAGGUGGUGCAGUACAAGCAGCAGUCCCGGCUGGAGGAGAAGCGGAAGAAGGCUCUGGACCUCCAGCUGGACUUCAUCGUGGGCCAGACGGAGAAAUACUCCGACCUCCUCAGCCAGGCCCUGGAAACGGCCCCGGCUGGGAUCAGUGAACCUGCGUCCUCACCGCACAGACGACAUCUUCCGCCUGCCGUGGAUGAGGAGGAUAGAGACUUUGAGCCUCCAUGUGGUGAGGAGGAGGAUGACGAGGAGACCAUCGAUGUGGAGGAGGCGCAGGAUGGCAAUGAUGCUGAGACCCAGAGGAGAGAGAUUGAGCUGCUAAGACAGGAGGGGACCAUGUCCCUGGCGGAGCUGCUGAGUACCCUCAAAAGGCCCCAGUCACAGGUGGGUCCCACCCUCAAAAGUUUGGUGGACACUGACUUUCCUCCUACCCAGGAUUCAGAAGAUGAGGAAGAGUGCUCAGACAACUCGUCUACGACGGUGGACGAAGACGAGGAGUUCACAGCCAACGAAGAAGAUGCGGAAGACGAGGAGGACACCAUUGCAGCCCAGGAGAUCGUGGAGGGGGAGGCCAAUCACGCCGACGAGCUGGACGACUUGGCCAAGGAAGGUGACAUGAGUAUGGAGGAGCUGCUGGAGAAGUAUAAAGGAGCAUACGCCUCUGAUUUCGAGGAGCCCUCAACAUCCGCCUCCCCCGCUAGCUCGGACCAGUCUGAAAACUCUGGAGAAGAAGAUGAGGAGGAGGAGGAGAGCGAGGAAGAUGAAAGCAAUGAAGAUAGUGAAGAGGAAGAGGUCAGUGAAAACGAGGAGGACAGUAAUGAAGACGAGUGUGACGAGGGGAUGGAGAUCUUGCUGAAGGAGGGGGACCACAGCCCCCCACUACCAGCCGGCCAGCGACCCAAGAAGGAGAUCAGCCACAUUGCCGCCACGGCAGAGAGCCUGCAGCCCAAAGGCUACACCCUGGCCACAACCAAGGUCAAAACUCCCAUUCCGUUCCUGCUGGUGGGCCAGCUGCGGGAGUACCAGCACAUUGGCCUGGACUGGCUGGUCACCAUGUACGAGAAGAAGCUCAACGGCAUCCUGGCUGACGAGAUGGGCCUGGGGAAGACCAUCCAGACCAUCGCCUUGCUCGCUCACCUGGCCUGUGAAAAGGGUAACUGGGGGCCUCACCUGAUCAUCGUGCCGACCAGUGUGAUGCUGAACUGGGAGAUGGAGCUGAAGCGUUGGUGUCCUGGAUUCAAAAUCCUCACUUACUACGGCAGUCAGAAGGAGAGGAAACUGAAGAGACAGGGAUGGACGAAGCCCAAUGCCUUCCACGUGUGCAUCACCUCAUACAAGCUGGUGCUCCAGGACCACCAGGCCUUUCGACGCAAGUCCUGGCGGUACCUGAUCCUGGACGAGGCCCAGAACAUCAAGAACUUCAAGUCCCAGCGCUGGCAGAGCCUGCUGAACUUCAACAGCCAGAGGCGGUUGCUCCUGACGGGCACCCCUCUACAGAACAGCCUGAUGGAGCUGUGGUCCCUCAUGCACUUCCUCAUGCCCCACGUCUUCCAGUCCCACCGGGAGUUCAAGGAGUGGUUCUCCAACCCGCUCACCGGCAUGAUCGAGGGCAGCCAGGAGUACAACGAGGGCCUGGUCAAGAGGCUGCACAAGGUGCUCCGGCCGUUCCUUCUGAGGAGAAUCAAGGCGGACGUGGAGAAGCAGAUGCCUAAGAAGUACGAGCAUGUGGUCCGUUGCCGUCUGUCCAAGAGACAGCGUUUCCUCUACGAUGACUUCAUGGCACAGGCCUCCACUCGGGAAACGCUGGCCAGCGGUCACUUCAUGUCUGUGAUCAACAUCUUGAUGCAGCUCCGUAAAGUGUGUAACCACCCCAACCUGUUUGACCCGCGGCCAAUCCACUCCCCCUUCAUCACCAAGCCCAUCAUAUUCCACACAGCCUCCCUGGUGCAGCAAGCCCUGGAGAUCUCUCCAUUUAAGCGCUGUGACCUGUCCAUGUUUGACCUGCUGGGUCUAGAGGGCAGGGUUUCCCGCUACCAGGCCGACGUCUUUCUGCCCCGCCGGAAGGUCACCCGCCGGCUGAUCCAGGAGGUCAUGGAGUCCCCCGAGCCCCCGCCCCGCCCCAAACCCGUCCGCAUGAAGGUGAACAGGAUGUUCCAGCCACUACCGAAGGCGGACAGUCGCACCAUGCUGGUGGUGAACAACCCCCGGCCCACGUGUCCCGUCACCCCUGCUGCCCAAGCCCUGAGGCCCCCUUCCAUCCAGGAGGUCACCACGACCCCCACACCUUCAUCGCCGGUCCAGCAAGCAGGACUCCGCUAUGUUCAGUAUUUCUGGUGGAGACCAGACACAGUGUGGCUGAAAUCCUGCCUUGUCUCGUUUCAUGAAACCUCAGCCGUGUGUUCGGUGGCCCCCACCGCCCCGCCGCGCCCGCCCACGCACCCCGGUGGCCCCUCGGUGGCGGGCACUGCCGCCCGGGCCGGCUCCCCGAUGCCGGUCGUGGCGGUGCGCCCGCCCACCUCCUCCGGCGCCCCCAGGCACCCCACCCCUCCUCCCAGCAACCUGAUGACCCAGAGAGUUCUGCUCAGCCCGGACAUGCAGGCCCGGCUUCCUUCCGGAGAGGUGGUGAGCAUCGCCCAGCUGGCGUCGCUGGCCGGUCGUCCCGUUUCGUCCUGCCAGGGCAGUAAGCCUGUCACCUUCCAGCUGCAGGGCAACAAACUCACCCUGUCUGGAACCCAGCUCCACCAGGUUCCUGUGGCCCCUGCGCGCCCGGUACAAGGUAAUGUCAUGCACCUGGUGACCAGCGGAGGGCAGCACCACCUCAUCAGCCAGCCAGCCCAGGUGGCGGUGUUCAGUUCAGCCAGCACCCACGCCGCCGCCUCCCCUAUGUCCUUUGACCUGUGCUUGUGGCCUGAGAGGUCCAGUAGCAGUCAAGAGGUUCUGACAUUUCUUCCCUCCCCAGUGCCCUCAUCCAUGGUGACCGGCUCUGGAAUUGUGAAGAUCGUUGUGCGCCAGUCGAGCAAGGAAGGAGGGGGGGUUCCGACGCUGGCUGUGCCCCCUUCGCCCCGGCUCGCCCCACAGGCAUCACCCUCCACCCUCCACCACGCCAACCCCGCUUUGAGAACUCAUGCCCCCUUGCAGACAUCACAUCGCCACCCCGGACCCGCCACCGCUCAGUACACCCUGGCCCCGCCCAGAACUCCUACCUCAGUCACAAUUAGGACCUCCACCCCAGCGCCCCCUCGUACCUCCACUCCGGCGCCGCCUCGAAUCCCUACACCUGCCCCUUCACGAACCCCGGCCCCGCCUCGAAUCCCUACGCCGGCCCCCCCUCGUACGUCUACGCCGGCCCCCCCUCGUACGUCUACGCCAGCCCCUCCACGUAUUCCUACCUCAGCCCCUGGUCAGUCUCCGAACCCUCAACCUGUCCAGAAGGCAGAAAAGGGCCCAGCAGAGACCAGCCUGGAACAGAAAGGUGAGGAGAUGGGAUCCAAAUUAAAUAAAACGGGCCCUUUAUUUCCGGUCCUUAUAUUGAAUGUUAUUUUUUUUUUGUCCUCUCCAGCUCGUGUGAAUUCUUCGUCGUCGUCGUCCUCACGAGAGGACAGUAGUGAAACGAAGUCAGCCGUUCCUAAAUCGGGGUCCCACUCAUGGCUGGCAGAGAGCCGCAAGAAGCAGCGAGAUGGACGGCUGACUCAGAUCGUCCAGAUCAACGACCUCCACUGCAGCGCCAGUCCGGUGUAUGGCUACGAGGUGCUGGACUUCCUCACUUUCCUCCCAGGCCUCUGUCCCACUCCGGCCCGCCAGGCCCUGGGUCACUGGGGCAGCUCGGGCCACGCCGCCUGCCUGUUCGCCCAGUCCCGAAGCACCACUGACUACUGGGACCAGAGCAGCGCCCUGAGGGAGGCCAUCCACACCACAGAGGACAGGCUGCAGCUGCUCCAGGAUGUCAUAGAAAGGUUUACAUUUGUGAUCCCGCCGGUGGAGGCUCCGCCCAUCACCCUGCACACCUGUCACCCUCCCCCGUCUCUGAGCCACCAGCAGGCCAUGUUCACCUCGGGUCUCUCCGCCCUGGUGGCUCCGCUAACCCGCAGUCUGCACCGCAUCCAGUGCAACAUGAGGACCCACUUCCCCGACCUGAGGCUCAUCCAGUACGACUGCGGUAAGCUGCAGACCCUCCACACUCUGUUGCGGCGGCUGAAGGAGGGUCAACACAGGGUGCUCAUCUUCACCCAGAUGACCCGCAUGCUGGACGUGCUGGAGCAGUUCCUCAACUACCACGGACACAUCUACCUCCGCCUGGACGGCAGCACCCGCAUCGAGCAGAGACAGUCCUUGAUGGAUCGUUUCAACGCCGAUCGACGAAUCUUCUGCUUCAUCCUGUCCACGCGUAGCGGAGGCGUGGGCGUGAACCUGACGGGCGCCGACACGGUGGUGUUCUACGACAGUGACUGGAACCCGACCAUGGACGCCCAGGCCCAGGAUCGCUGCCACCGCAUCGGACAGACCCGCGACGUUCACAUCUACAGGUUGAUCAGUGAGCGCACGGUUGAGGAAAACAUUCUGAAGAAGGCCAACCAGAAGAGGAUGCUGGGAGACAUGGCCAUUGAAGGAGGCAACUUCACCACUGCCUUCUUCAAACAGCAAACCAUCAGGGAGCUAUUUGACGUGACGGAGGGGGAGAAGAAGGAGGCCGUGGUGGAGCUCACCGUACCCCAGCCUGAAGAAGAAGAGGCAGUCAAUAAACAGAGCACCACCAUCCUGGAGCAGGCCCUGUGUCGCGCAGAGGACGAGGAGGACAUAGUCGCGGCCUCCCAAGCCAAAGCGGAGCAGGUAGCUGAGCUGGCCGAGUUCAACGAGGCCAUCCCGUUGGAUGAAGCCGGUGAAGGGAGGGACCCGGAAGAGGAGGAGCUUUCCAAGGCUGAGCAGGAGAUAGCAGCUCUGGUGGAGCAGCUUACUCCUAUAGAGCGCUAUGCUAUGAACUUCCUGGAGGCCUCGCUGGAAGAUGUGUGCAAGGAGGAAUUGAAGCAAGCAGAGGAGCAGGUGGAGGCAGCCAGGAAGGGGCUGGACCAGGCCAAGGAGGAGGACGACUUCUCGUCACAACCAGCGGAGGAGCCCUCGGUCCCCGGGUCAGGCCGGCGCCCACGGAAACACAGAGAGAAAGGCGCUCCCUCCACCAGGACCAGUGGCAGGCUCAGGGGGACCAUGGCCACCUCUCCAGAGCCGGAGCCAGACAGAGAAGUGCCCGACAGACUCCGUCCGGCUCCAAGGGCACGAGGGGGGACCAAAGACACCACCACCACUCCAUCCCGCACGGAGCAUCUCAGGCCACACGCCAAAACUGCAGAGACAUCUCCUGCCUCUCCUUCUAGAGACUUGGCAGUGCUGCCUCACCGCAACAAGGCCCACUCCAGCUCAGUGCCUUCCACUGCCACCAGUCCUCCAACUGGGAAACCGGAGAUGGUGGAGUCUGAUACACGGUCGCCCAGGAGGGAGAAGGGGGUGUGUGCCUCGCCAGAGUCCACAUGUCCUGUGGACCACCAGUCAUACUCUGCCCAGGCCAGGGAUGAUGACAGCAGAGACCAGGAGUCCCUGUUGCCCCCCUCUGUGUGCUCCCGGUCGCCGCGCAAGCGCCAGUCUGCCGAUGGUGAGGUCCUGCUGGGCCUUCCGGAACAUUCCCCGUCGGCCAAGGUCCUGCGGAAGCUCCCUGGUCGCCUGGUUACGGUGGUGGAGGAAAAGGAGCCCAGGAAGAGGAGGAGAAGAGGCAGCGGAACGGGAGGAGGCUCAUCCGAGGAGAUGGAGCAUGCAGAGUCGGAAUUCCCCUCAACACACUCUGUUCCACCGAGAGGCUUCCCCCCUUACUCCCCGCCACACCACUCCCCUGACAUGCCGGUACUGAGGAACCUGCCAGUGCGACAACGUCUGGAGAGUGAGUCUCACUGCAACGUUUCCCCAGGCACUAAUGUCACUAACUCAACCCCGCCGGUGAAGCGCAAGAGGGGCCGACCACCCAAGACUCCCCCGAGGGUGGCGGAACCGCAGCCAGAUCACGUAUCC